rnacentral:rRNA from 1 species
CGGAGGAAAAGAAACCAACAGGGAUUGCCUCAGUAACGGCGAGUGAAGCGGCAAAAGCUCAAAUUUGAAACCCUCGGGAUUGUAAUUUGAAGAUUUGGCAUUGGAGAAAGCUAACCCAAGUUGCUUGGAAUAGUACGUCAUAGAGGGUGACAACCCCGUCUGGCUAACCGUUCUCCAUGUAUUGCCUUAUCAAAGAGUCGAGUUGUUUGGGAAUGCAGCUCAAAGUGGGUGGUAAACUCCAUCUAAAGCUAAAUACUGGUGAGAGACCGAUAGCGAACAAGUACUGUGAAGGAAAGGUGAAAAGAACUUUGAAAAGAGAGUGAAAUAGUAUGUGAAAUUGUUGAUAGGGAAGGAAAUGAGUGGAGAGUGGCCGAGGUUUCAGCCGCCCCUCGUGGGCGGUGUACUGCCGACGCCGAGUCAUCGAUAGCGAGACGAGGGUUACAAAUGGGAGCGCCUUUCGGGCGUUCUCCCCUAACCCUCCACACUGCCACCGACGACAUAAUCCACCCAUUUCACCCGUCUUG